GCCAGCAUGGCUUAAUGGUUUGAGUGUUGGGACUAUGACUCUAGAGACCAGGGUUCAAUUCUCAGUUCAGCCA